UUUACGAUUUACACAACGUGCCAACUUCACUGGUUGUUGGGUUUGUAACAAACAUAACGAGGAGGUGAUUGAUAAACUAUCUCUUUAUUAAUAAGACAAAACAACAACAACGACAAGCUGAACUGUGUCGUAUGCGCUACUCUGCCAUCACACGCGCACACACAAAAGUUCCUUUGAUUCCUUUGAUCCGAAAUCACAAAAAUCUCUAACUUUUUGUGUACGUGUGUGCUCUUGGAAGAGGUGCAGCUGAGCAAGAGAGAGCCUUCUCCUCCGCUGUGAAAUAUCGUAAAUUCCCGACUACAAGCCGCUACUUUUUUCCUAAGAUUUGAACCAUGCAACUUAUAAAACGUUGCGGCUAUUUUUUGUUUGCUAAUGGCCACAAUGUAUUGUGUUCAAUAGUUUUCAUUAAACCCAAGCCAAGGACUGAAAAGGCUGUUAUUCUUUGUGCUAUGACGCCAUCUUUUGGAUGAGUUUGCUCACUGCAGGUGUUGCAGUUUGAAAAUGUACUUCCUGUUUUAAUGCUUUGAACUGGAAGCAAAACCGUCCAUCUGCUCGAAAGUAUUCUGCAUUCAUCCCUCCAAGCAAGUUUUACAAUAUAACUAAAACCAUUCUUACUUAAUAAACUACUCCAUGUGUGAUGUCUGUAGAAGUGUUUUCAUGCAUAUUUGUACGUACUAACGUAAUGUAAUAACACCAGCACCGUUAGCAUGAGCUAAUAUGCAAACACGUUUACGAGUGUCUGUGUUAGAAUUAUAAACUUACAAUGGCAUUCUUUUUGUAUUGUUUCCGUUUCACAAAUUCCUCAGUAAAUUAACCAAAACGUCACCGUGGAGUUAUUGAGUCUGUUUAGCUGAUUGGAGAGCUCGCUUGCGCAGCUAAUGGGUCCAUGACGAUAACUUCUGUUUUGUUUGAUCAGCGGUUUAAAAAAAAAACUAAUUUCACAACAUAUAUAUUUGCGACUUACAGUCUUGUGGAAACAUGUUUUUUUCUACUAAAGGUUAUUAAGUGCGGCUAAUAUAUGUAAACAUGUUUUUUCGUCUAAAAGUUAGUAGGUGCUGCUUAUAUACGUAAGGAUAUUUUUUUCCCUAAACGUUAGUAGGUGCGGCUUAUACAGUAUAUGGACGUUUUUUUCUGUGGAUCGACUACUACCAGUAAAACAGUCGGAAUCACCCACGUCAGCAUUCCUUUCAGAAGUAAACAAAUGGCACAUAGGAGCAUCUGUGAACAGAAUGUUUAUAACUCCUGUUAUUUGUUGGAGGCUAAAUUGCAGUGUUUUAGGAAAUGGUUAAAAGGACAGUGUUGUAUGUGGGGGACAGGUGGUGUCACAGACCAUCUCCUCAGUUCAGGGAUGGUUUUUCACCUUUGUCAUAGAUGGCUUCCCUCACUCUUCUUUCGUACCAUCUGUCUUCCCUGUCCAGAAUCUGUACAUUGUAGUUCUCCCUGAGGUGCACGUAGACAGCUGAGUCUAGAGCUGAAGAGUUUGUUGUCAAAGGAGUGCUGUUUCUCCCUGAGGUGCAGGUAGACCGCUGAGUCUAGAGCUGAAGAGUUUGUUGUCAAAGGAGUGCUGUUUCUCCCUGAGGUGCAGGUAGACAGCUGAGUCUAGACCUGAAGAGUUUGUCAAAGGAGUGCUGUUUCUCCCUGAGGUGCAGGUAGACCGCUGAGUCUAGACCUGAAGAGUUUGUUGUCAAACGAGUGCUGUUUCUCCCUGAGGUGCAGGUAGACCGCUGAGUCUAGAGCUGAAGAGUUUGCCCGUCUAUGCUGUGCCAUGCGUCAGCUUAGUGGUUGUUUUGUUUCCCCAUUAUAUGAAUUAGUGCAUUCAUCAUUACACUGGAAAGCAUACACCAGGUUGUUUUUGUGGGUGUGGGGUGUCACUCCCUGCUAUUGGAGUAUAAAUAUUUGGGGUUUUGGCACAAGCUGCUAGACUAUAUCUGACCAGUCUUAGACAAGAUCUUCAAGACAAGUAAGUUUCUAUUUUAUUAUAUAGUUUAAAAAUACGGACCUAGUUCAGCUUUUUAUAGCUGUACUUUGUGCUUGUUUGGUGAAAUGGGUUUCUAACGUCACUACUGCUUGCUUUGGAUUGGUGAAGCAUAGUCACGUGACCGUGCCUACGAAGGAAGGCUUGGUGACAAAAGACUACAUCUUUGCAAACCUUAAUGAUAUUGAUAUAAAUAAUUGUGAUAAAAAUAAAUGUAACAAUCGGAAUUAAACUCAACGUACUAAAAUAUACUCAAGUAAAAGUAAAGUAUGUUGCAUUAAAACUACUCGACAGGUACAAUUUAUCUAAAAAGUUACUGAAGUAAAUGUAGCGAUAAAAUGUUAAACUAGGCCUUCCAUGCUGGCCUAUCACAACCAGAAAUAAUCAAAGAUAAAAGUAUUUUUUUAUUUACUUUCCCUAUACAUCUAAAAGUUUUCAUAUUCUCCAUCCAUCCAUCCAUUUUCUACCGCUUAUUCCUUUUCGGGGUCGCGGGGGGCGCUGGCGCCUAUCUCAGCUACAAUCGGGCUACAAUCUUCAUCUUAUAUUAGUUCCAGUGCUGUUGUUUUUAGUUUUAGUUGGUAUCCAAUCAGAAUUCAGCUAGCUUAUGUUGCCAUGCUGUACGAAAUCAGCCAGAGGCUUUCAGAAUCAACAACACUGGCGUCAGUGCACUGUAACUAAUCGGGGACAUACAGGUGAGAGACAGUUGCGAUAGCCAAUCAGAUCACAAGUUGUUGUCAGUAAGGCCUUGUAGAUGGUCUGUGACAUUGACGCAUCCUGUGAUUGGAUACUCAUCGGGACUGUUAGCGAAUUAAUUUGAGAACACAGAGUAGAGAGACAGUUGCGAUAGCCAAUCAGAUCACAAGUUGUUGGCAGUAGCCUAUCCAAGUAGUUUGAUGUUAACGAGACUGUGAUUCACUUGUCACUCCAAAGUGAGUAUCCAAUCACAAGUUUCAAUUUAGCAGGAAGCAGGAAGUGUUGUGCCGCAGCCAUACCGGAUAGCAGAGAAGGAGAACAAAACGUUGAUUCUGGCGAUGAAAUUGGGACUGGCGUCGAAUAGGUCCUACCAAUUGUCCUGGGAGGAUAUCGGCGUUGACCCACACCGGAACGCGGACCUGAGACAGCACCUCUUGCAAAAUGGAGGCGGAAAGAGACACCGCCUCCAGGCUUAACGGAGAAAACUCAAGGUUAGCAUCAAACGCAACCUCACCUUACUUGGGAAGAACGCAAUCUGUUGUUACAUAUGUGUCACCUCUUGAAGUCUAGUUUCACACCCUUGUUGUGCAGCCUGACUCUUUCAAGCCAUUCCUUCAGAGUGAUGUCACUGUCAGUGUCAGGGGGGUGGGCCAUGAUUGGCUCUUUGGGGUCACAACCUCUCAUUAAUAUGUCCGCUUCAAUCAUAUGAGUGGGACCUAAGAGCACAAGUAAUAUUUGUUUUGUUACUGAAAGUGUAAAAGUCUUCACCAUGCUGUUCAUGUACGUAUACGCUUGUCGAUUAAACUAUAUCAAUGUAUAUCACGAUAAACAUGUAAUCAACAUCCAUAUUUGCAAUAAAAAUGAUAAAAUGUUCAA